GCGGACAGCGGCGGACGGGUGAGUAACGCGUAGGCAACCUGCCCCUGACAGAGGGAUAGCCAUUGGAAACGAUGAUUAAAACCUCAUGACACCGUAGUAGCACAUGCUACAUCGGUCAAAGAUUUAUCGGUCAGGGAUGGGCCUGCGUCUGAUUAACUGGUUGGUGAGGUAACGGCUCACCAAGGUGACGAUCAGUAGCCGACCUGAGAGGGUGAUCGGCCACAUUGGAACUGAGACACGGUCCAAACUUC
rnacentral:rRNA from 1 species